GAUGAACGCUGGCGGCGUGCCUAAUACAUGCAAGUCGAGCGAACAGACGAGGCUCUUGCUGCUCUCUCGUUAGCCGCGCGCGGGUGAGUCACACGUGGAUACUCUACUUAUAUGACUGGGAUAUCUUCGGGAAACCGGAGAUAAUCCCGGAUAAUAUCUUGAACCGCAUGGUUCAAUGGUGAAAUACGGUUUUGCUGUCACUUAUAGAUGGAUCCCCGCCGCAUUGGCUAGUUGGUAAGGUAACGGCUUACCACGGCAACGAUGCGUAGCCGACCUGUGAGGGGGAUCGGCCACACUAGAACUGAGACGCCGUCCAGACUACUAAGGGAGGGAGCAGUAGGGUAUGUUCCGCAAUGGGCGGGAGCCUGACGGAGCGACGCCGCGUGAGUGAUAGAGGUCUUCGGAUCGUGAAACUCUGUUAUGAGGGAAGAACAAAUGUGUAAGUAACUAUACACGGCUUGACGGUACCUAAUCAGAAAGCCACGGCUAACUACGUG
rnacentral:rRNA from 1 species